UAACACGUAAGGAGCGAGCGUUGUUCGGAAUUAUUGGGCGUAAAGGGCAUGUAGGCGGUCAUAUAAGUCUGGUGUGAAAGGCUACAGCUUAACUGUGGAAACGCACUGGAAACUGUAUGACUUGAAUCAGAGAGGGGUAACUGGAAUUCCUAGUGUAGGGGUGAAAUCUGUUGAUAUUAGGAAGAACACCGAUGGCGAAGGCAAGUUACUGGCUCAUGAUUGACGCUGAGAUGCGAAAGCGUAGGGAGCGAACAGGAUUAGAUACCCUGGUAGUCUACGCUGUAAACGAUGUGCACUUGGUGUCGGGGUUCUAAGCCUCGGUGCCGUAGCUAACGCGUUAAGUGCACCGCCUGGGGAGUAUGCCGGCAACGGUG
rnacentral:rRNA from 1 species